AGUGAACGCUGGCGGUAGGCCUAACACAUGCAAGUCGAACGGCAGCACAGUAAGAGCUUGCUCUUACGGGUGGCGAGUGGCGGACGGGUGAGGAAUACAUCGGAAUCUACUUUUUCGUGGGGGAUAACGUAGGGAAACUUACGCUAAUACCGCAUACGACCUACGGGUGAAAGCAGGGGAUCUUCGGACCUUGCGCGAUUGAAUGAGCCGAUGUCGGGUUAGCUAGUUGGGGGGGGAAAGGCCCACCAAGGCGACGAUCCGUAGCUGGUCUGAGAGGAUGAGUAGCCACACUGGACCUGAGCCACGGUCCAGACUCCUACGGGAGGCAGCGGUGGGGAAUAUUGGACAAUGGGCGCAAGCCUGAUCCAGACCUACCGCGUGGGUGAAGAAGGCCUUCGGGUUGUAAAGCCCUUUUGUUGGGAAAGAAAAGCAGCAGGUUAAUACCCCGCUGUUCUGACGGUACCCAAAGAAUAAGCACCGGCUAACUUCGUG
rnacentral:rRNA from 1 species